UACCAGCACCCCGAGUGGUCGGGACGUUUAUUGGGCCUAAAGCAUCCGUAGCCGGUUCUACAAGUCUUCCUUUAAAUCCACCUGCUCAACAGAUGGGCUGCGGAAGAUACUAUGGAGCUAGGAGGCGGGAGAGGCAAGCGGUACUCGAUGGGUAGGGGUAAAAUCCGUUGAUCCAUUGAAGACCACCAGUGGCGAAGGCGGCUUGCCAGAACGCGCUCGACGGUGAGGGAUGAAAGCUGGGGGAGCAAACCGG
rnacentral:rRNA from 1 species